AUUUAACUUUGGAGAAAAAAUUAGAGAUGGUUUCAAAAGCCAGGCCCUUUGCUUCCGAUACCAUUAGCAUGGCAUAAUAGGAAUAGGACGGUGUGGUUCUCAUUUGUUGGUUCUAGGACCGCCGUAAUGAUUAUAGGGAUAGUCGGGGGCAUCAGUAUUCCAAUCGUCAGAGGUGAAUUCUUGGAUUGAUUGAAGACUAACUACUGCGAAGGCAUUUGCCAAGGAUGUUUUCCAUUAAUCAGUGAACGAAAGUUAAGGGGAUCGAAGACCGAUCAGAUACCGUCGUAGUCUUAACCCAUAAACUAUGCCGACUAGGGAUCGGACGGUGUUAGUAUUUUGACCCGUUCCGGCACCUUACGAGAAAUCAAAGUUUUUGGGCUUCUGGGGGGAGUAUGGUCGCAAGGCUGAAACCUAAAGAAAUUGACGGAAAGGGCACCCCCAGGCGUGGAGCCUGCGGCUUAAUUUGACUCAACACGGGGAAACUCACCAGGUCCAGACACAAUAAGGAUUGACAGAUUGAGAGCUCUUUCUUGAUUUUGUGGGUGGUGGUGCAUGGCCGUUCUUAGUUGGUGGAGUGAUUUGUCUGCUUAAUUGCGAUAACGAACGAGACCUUAACCUGCUAAAUAGCCAGGCCCGCUUUGGCGGGUCGCCGGCUUCUUAGAGGGACUAUCGGCUCAAGCCGAUGGAAGUUUGAGGCAAUAACAGGUCUGUGAUGCCCUUAGAUGUUCUGGGCCGCACGCGCGCUACACUGACAGAGCCAACGAGUUCAUUUCCUUAGCCGAAAGGUUUGGGUAAUCUUGUUAAACUCUGUCGUGUUGGGGAUAGAGCAUUGCAAUUAUUGCUCUUCAACGAGGAAUGCCUAGUAAGCGCAUGUCAUCAGCAUGCGUUGAUUACGUCCCUGCCCUUUGUACUCACCGCCCGUC
rnacentral:rRNA from 1 species